CCCAUCUGUGGCUUUUGAAAAGUUGACGAAGCGGCACAAUGUGGAUACACUUCGCAGAUCUCAUGCAGAUAACAACUGCAAAGUUACAGCAACACGCAAGAGAGGACAAUACCAUCUCGACGAUAACGCUCUACCAAUUGCCAGGCUACAGCUACUCGCAUCUGCAAUCUGUGAAUUCCGUUACGACAUGCUGCAACAGUACAUUUAAGCGUUGUUGGAGCGACCGGGCCUCGCAGUCUUGUGGGGGAUUUCAGUCAGUUUCAAGUCAUCUUUGUGUUCUUGCACUGUUUUAGUAUCCACAAACCCAUUAUAUGUGUGGCGGCCCGUGGACGAUGACGACGUGCCUCUGCUGCCGUGGACUACUGCGCCUGGCAGCCAAUUCUACCGGCACCGUUCUAGCGUGAGGCCACGCACAUCUGGCCGCUAGGAUAUUCCACCAGCGCCGGUCGGGACUCGUGUAAAGGGACACCACGUCCUCUAGAUAUGCAUCGCUCGAACUGAAGAUCACGUAGACGAAGAGGAAUCAUCCGAGUGAUUGUGUACGGAUCCGGAUUGUGUUCAGGUUCAAUGGCCUUAGGAAUGAAUACCGAGCUUUAGCAGGUCGGAAGUUCUCAACGAUAGCGCUUGGGAAAGUAUGAUCGGACAAUUGGUUUACAUCACGUUGCUGAUCUUUGAUUUGUCAGCUUCCUUUAUCGUGUCGUUUCCAUAGUGUGUUGCUGCUACUGCUGUGUCCUGCUAAAGCUCUCGAAAGUAUGCCUCUCUCGCAAUCCAGAAUGGAGUCGUCGACCCCUUCAUCUACUGCAAUGAUAAGGCUGUCGUAUUUUAUACGCGGUUGGCUGUGCGCGAAGAGUAUAACCAAUUCUUUACCUAGAAUCUACGCAUCCCCUAUCCCUCAUAUGGUGGGCGCUUUAGAAAGUUCAUGUAACGUUUCAUCGUUACUGGUUGGUUUGGAGUAGAUUGAUUAAACUAAUGCAAAGUAAUGCAGUAUUCGUUAUUAAUCGAUCAAUUGCUGAAUAAUUAAACUGAAUCAGAUUAAUGGACUAAAUCAAAUUGGAAGUCACUAAAGUACGUUCUACUUCGAAAACUUAGGGGACAAUUCAAUAAGUCAAACGACGAUAAUUCAAUUUUUCCGGUGUGGCAAUUCCAGACCUCUGCAGCAUCUACGCGAGUUGUUCGGGUACAUUUUCAUUUUUGCAGCCACAUUUUGAACAAAACUUCGGGAGAGUCGAAGUAACAGAUUUAUUUCAGAGUGGGGAAUUUCAUCGGCACAGGCGAUACUCUGCCCCAUUGCUUUGCGGAAAAUAUACUGAUGAGCUUCCCAGUGGUGACCGCAGUUCUACGGGAUCCAGAAAUCUGAGCAGUGCUUUGAGAUAGUGCCGCUGGUAAGUAGAAUUAAACCAUGUACGAAGAACAUGGACGCGGACCAUGGACGCGGACCAUGGACGAGGACCAUAGACGCGGACCAUAGACCAAGGGUCGCAGCGAUGGUGGAUAAUGGACGAAAACGCUGAUUUGAUGAUGGUGUCACUAAUGCUUGCAGUCACGCUUCUAUUUGCAGGUGGUGGUGGUGGUGGGUGGUGAUAGGGCUUGCCGUUGUCGGCCUCACGUAUGUGGGCAACGUCACGACUGACGCCCUGGGAGAAUGUGCGUCCUGGGCCGACUUCUAACGGAACUGUCCGACAUAUGUCUGAAAGCGUCUGAGGAAAACCCAGGAAAAACCCCAGACAACACAGCCGGCACCGGGAUUCGAACCCGGGUACCUCCCAGUCUCGACGUGACAUCUAUUUGCAGGUUGUUCAUAAGCCUCAACGUCACUCUCGAGCAUUCAGCGCAUGGGGUUGUCGCGCAUCAUAUUAAGUAUUUUAAUGGAUGCUGUUUGAAAAGACAGUAUGUGUCUCAUACUGCAUUUUCCCACUGUCUUUCAGACAAUGCAGACUACAACAACAGCGAAUACACUGACGAUGAAUGGGGAAAUUCCCCACCUGAGCUGCGAACCACUACCCCAAUGCUAAUGGGACUCCAUGAGACAGAUUACAAAAGAACAUGUCACUGCGCACAACAUCACCUUGCUUUGUUCCAUGAAGCUUUUGUGUGCUCUCUUCACACUUCGGUCCUCGUGAUGUGUUCCAUGUUGUGCGCACUAUACUUUGCACUGACAUUCAUGGUUACGUUUUGUUACGCACGUGUCGUGCCAGUCACUGCCAUUUCUGUUACUAUGCAGGGUGUAUGCUAUAAAAGGUCAGUACUUAUUCGCUCAUGACGCGGUAACAACUUGACGGACAGACUUCCGCGGCAACAUAUGGAUUCAUGCCAGAGAAACCUUAUAGCCUAAUAUUUUUCACUGUGUGGCAGAGGAAGUCUCUCCGUCAGGUACGUAUCCCGUCACGAGCGAAAAUGUGGCUGAUCUUUUAUAGUACAAACCCAGUAAACUGUGAUACUACUGUGGAUCUUGUGAGCAGCCGCUCAAGACAAGGCUCUUCUCAAGGCAAACUAUUUUUGUAUGGUUAGUGUGAGAGACUGAGUAACAGUGUUUUUGGAGGAAUAUGUGCACAUGCAAACAAAACGAUGUAACGUCACGAGACGGUGAAGGCGGUAAAAUGGUAACGCCAGAAAACAAGGGACGAACACGGACAGCGUUUGUGGAACAGGGACGGCGUGAACGCUAUCCCUAUCCGCCUUUCGUUUCCUCGCGGUCCAGUAAGGUUCUGUGCAAUGUCUGUUUUAUUGUCAUGUGACGUUGCGAUGACGUCGAAAACCAGUAACUGUGCGUGUAAUCGAAGGAGCUGAUGCGUUUCUCGCGUGGCAAAAGCAGUCGGUUGUGUUCUUAAGACACAAACCGAGUAGCGGGCCUGACAUUAGUGAGGCCAAAAUCUCCAUUUUAUUUUUUCCUUAAAACCAAACCCAACCAACACGAACCUGUCACCAGUGGGACGCAUUUUAAGCCUGAAUGAAAUCACCUUUCUUAGAACUGACUAGCCAAACUCAAGUUACGAAAACGAUGCUCGAUCUAUUUGAUCUAACCGGUCAUUAGCCAUUCCAAAGUUUUUAGCCGUGGCUGAACAUUGUCGUCUUUGUACUCAUACCUGGAAGACUCGCUGUAGAGGACGCCUAUCUGUUGGAUUUGGCGUGCCUCCCGUUUAGACUCACGGAAAUUACUUAACUAAUCUUGUAAUGCAUUUCCUUUACUCGGUAGAAUUUUGUAAAGAAAUACAUUGCUUAUUACUUUUCAUUCUUACUGACGCGUUACUUAUGUGAUUGCUUACCUCAAGUAAUGACAUUGCUUUGCUAUUACAUUUCUUCUGGAGUAAUAAUGCAGUUUUGUUUGAUGUUAAGGUGUAAAGGACUUAAGACCAGUCGUUUACUGAUUUACACAUUUCCAGUGGGCGUAUAAUUAGAGUUUUUCUCCAAAAUCACUACGUAUGAAUGAUAGCGUUGAUACAUGAGAGCAGCGCGCAUAAUUUCAAUGAACAAUCAUAGAUCAAGAAUAAGACUAAUUUCAGGACAGAACGCGCCACUUAAACUCUGUCCUCCAUCUUGGUGACCUGUAUGGUGACAAAGGUGGUUCAAAGAUUUCAAGCGGGGGGGGGGGGGGGUUUCCUUACGUGUGCCAGGCCAUGUUUGUAAUUGCCGUUUUGGGACAAUGCCUGAAUUUUCAGCUCAAGUAAUGAGUAAUGUCAUUACGCAUUAUCCAGCCAAACUCUAAUGUCAUUACAUUACUCACAUUAUUGCACAAAAUAUAAUUCACUAGCAUUGCUCUUCGCCGAGACGUAAUGCGCAUUACCGGUAUAACGCACUGUCUUGUUACUGCGUUACUUCCCAUCUCUGAUCCCGUUCUUCAUACCUGUUGCUUGAGUCUGAAUGGCAUUUCGUGAUGUGGAAGCACGAAUUAUGUCUAUCUUCUCGCAGGCAUACCAACACAGGAAGACUACGUCCGUUGCUACCAGUGUCGGGUGUGCCCUUACAUUUCGCGACGUAGAGAAGCCUGGCUGAGACACGA